rnacentral:rRNA from 1 species
CCUACGGGUGGCAGCAGUAGGGAAUAUUGCUCAAUGGGCGAAACCCUGAAGCAGCAACGCCGCGUGGAGGAUGAAGGUUUUCGGAUUGUAAACUCCUUUUGUUAGAGAAGAUCAUGACGUUAUCUAACGAAUAAGCACUGGCUAACUCCGUGCCAGCAACCGCGGUAAUACGGAGGGUGCAAGCGUUACUCGGAAUCACUGGGCGUAAAGAGCGUGUAGGCGGGAUAGCAAGUCAGAUGUGAAAUCCUAUGGCUUAACCAUAGAACUGCAUUUGAAACUGGUAUUCUAGAGUAUGGGAGAGGUAGGUGGAAUUCUAGGUGUAGGGGUAAAAUCCGUAGAGAUCAAGAGGAAGA